rnacentral:misc_RNA from 1 species
AGUUCCAGAAAAAGAACACAUAAAAAAAUUAUGGUUAUCUGCAUUAAACAUCAAGCAGAUCAGUUCAAAUGCAAGAAAAAAUGGAGAAACCACUGAUCGUAGCAACUCUGAGAGCAUAGAAGAGAGCAUAGAAAGUACACAAUACUGCAACAAGAAACAUACAUGUUUGAAAAGAUCCUUAGCAAUGGAACAGGCAACUGAAGAUGAAGUAGUGCCUCGAAAAAAUAUUAGAACAUUUCGUGAUAUAGACGUCAAACAGGUUUCACAAUCACCGUUUGAAGCAGAAACCUGCUUGGAAGCACUCAUUGAAGAACUGCAUGAAAAACGGAAGGAGAUAAAACGAUUUAGAGAUAAAGUCGGAAAACUACAGAAAACAGUUAAAGAUUUACGCUCACUGAUGAAGAGUUUAAAAGAUAAUAAUUUAAUAACAAGCACAGCUAGAGAUAUAUUACAAGUAAGUAAUUAGUUUUAAUGUAAACAAUACAUUCUACAAUGUAUGUAAACAAUAAUGGCGAUAUAUAUAUGUGUAUGUAUGUAUGUAGAAUGUAUUGUUUACAUUGCUCUCAUUAUUGCAAAUAUUUUUAGCAAAAAUACCCACUGCGGAGAGUUAUUUUGUCGUGAUCAUUGUAAAUUAUGUGUACAUUAAUACGUAUCAAAAUUAUCUAUUUUUU